UAAUGUCGGAUUUGAAAAAAAUCCAAAAUCCACUUUUUACCAUAUUUGGAUACUACAUUGUCUAAAUAUUAUUGCUACAUUAAAAAAAAAAUUACAUGUAUUUUAGAUUUCAAAUUAAGCAGUCGGUAUAAUGACGGAUUUGAUAGACGCUCAUAGUAAAAUGACGCUUGUGCUUAAUCGUCUCUGCACGACGCGCGCCCGGCCCUCCCACUCCCGACGUAUCCACGCAACCGACAUUGUUCCUCGAAGUUGCCCACGCGUUGUAUUUAGAUUCAAUUUUUGUUAAACAUUUACACUAGAUUACCUCAGUUACCUUUUUAUUAAUUAUUACGUAUCUAGUCUUACGUACCGUGUUAAAAGGUGUGUCACAAUGAAACCAGGACGAUCAAAGCUUAUGUUAAAACUGGUGGAAGAAAGAAGCAAAAAUGCACAAAUUACGAAUUUUACUCAUGAAGAGUGCACUGAUGAGGAGGACUGUAUACCAGGGACUCCAGAAUGCCAUUCACCUUUACCUCCAGGAGUACGCCAUGCAAUAGUAAAAUGAACGACGUUUAUGAGAAUGUCUUUGCAGACGUUGUACACCGAGCAAACGAAAGUAUUACAGAUGAAAAUAGGAAUCAAAACAUACCAUCCUCUACUUGUUUUCUUAGAGAAAAUCACUUUAUAGUUGGAUAUCAAAAUGCUUCCACACCAGAUUUACUCUCGUCAGAAAAUCAACAUACCGUGUCCCUAAAUAUCAGCCCAGCUUUAAGCCCUUUAAAUACCUCUAUCUUGAUAUCAGAUAUAUCACCUUUCCCACAACCGAUUAAUCGAUUGCCAUUACCAGCAAAAGGCCAUGGCGAAGUCUGUAACGAUUUUUGUUGUUGCACUCAUGAUGAAGCGGACUAUAGCAACUGUCCUUUAAUCAACACAGUUGUGUCCUCAUGCCAGUCGUGUCCUCUAGUGCCUCGUAUUCGAUGUAGAGGUAAAAAACGAAUCCGAAAUUACGAUGAUUGAAAAGAAGUUACUAGAAAGCGCUUAAUAAUGCCGGGAAAUAAACUCCUCCAAAAAGGGCCUUUUUGUUCCUUCAAAAACUAUGGGUGCCUACCCAGUACUUGCGCGUGUAAAAGUAAAUGUUACACUAUGUUGACCCUUGAAGAAAGACAGGGUGCAUUUGAUAAGUUUUGAGAAUUAGGUGAUUGUGAGAAACAAUGGUUGUAUGUUGCGAAUUAUACUACAAAACAGCAGAAUAAAAGGGGUCUUCAAAGAGCUUUAAAGCAUAACCGUCAAUUCACUAACAAUUAUUUUUUGCCAAAAGAAUCAUCAACAAUAGAGGAUUGUAAAAUCAUGUUUUUAAGUACAUAUUCGAUUAUCGAAAGGUUAGUUCGGACAGCUUGGGAUAAGUAUGACGGAAGCACUUUGAUUGAAGAAGACAUGAGGGGGAAACAUAAAAAUCAUAAUCGGAUUGUUGACGAUGAAAUGGUAAUGUGGGUUUGCACCCACGUUGAAUCAUUUGUACCAGUAGAGUCGCAUUAUAGAGCAGCGUCCAAAUGGCUGUAUUUAGGUGACUUCGGAGACUUCAGCAUCGGUCGGAUGUUCAAUUUAUACAAAGAAUUGUCUGAACUCCAGCCUUAAAGAAAGCUUAUGUAGGUCUAAUUCCAAUCAGUAAUGAUAAAUAUAACAAUCUUAUUAGUCUUUGCAAUUCCUCAAUAAUACCCACGAAAUAUCAUAAAUUUUUCAGAAGUUUAACUCAUGGACGUAAUGUUACUGAAGCUGGUAAUGAAUCCGACUGAAUAAUUGUGCACUAGGGUUUUUUUUUAUAAUUUUAGUUAUUUUAUUGUUAUUAUUUUGAUCUCUGAAGUUGUGAUUGUUAAGAUUUUUUUCAUUUUAAUAAAUGUUUUUUUCUGUUCUUUAUAAUUAAAUUCUAUAUAAUGAUUAGUAUUUAAAGGGGAUUGCCCACUCUCCAUAGUGUGCUAGGCCCAAGAUGGACAUCAAAUAUUACUAUAAAAAUGUACUGAUUCAAAUUCUUAAAUGUAUUGGAUAUCUAAAAAAUAUAUUGAAAUUGACGCCACUAUUAUAAAAAAUAUAAUAAAAAUAAAAACUCGUUUUGAGGUUAAUUUUAUAUAUAAAUAAGUGUCGGAUUGUGAGAUACUUCAAGAACUUGUCUUUUCUUAAUGUUUAAGAUGUUCCUAAUGUAUUUUUAUCCAAUAGGGUAUAAAAACACACUUAAUUCUUUAAAUAUCUAUAUUUUCUUCAUCUUCAUACACAAUUAGUAUCAUCUAAAAAUAGCAAAGGAGAGCAUAUACACGGUUUUAAAUCUCGGUCAGGGUAAAACCACAAUUCACACAAUGUUUUUUAGUCGUAGUAUGAAACGUUAUUGAUAAAAGUAAAAUAAAUCGAAGAAAAAUCAAAACACAUCCAUUUUGUACGCAAGCACAACACCACAAGCAGCAAGCGAAGUAUUAAAUUCAGUGUUGUCAGUAUAAAGAAAAAUAAUUACAUGAAAUUCAUAUAUCGAUUAUUUUUUUAAAUAACCGAUAAUUGAUUUAUAUCUUAAUCUUUUUUUUACGAGUACACAUUAUUUUUUAUGUUUUUGUUUUAGUUGUACAUAUUUAAAUAACAAUACUAGUAAAGUUUUUUUUAUUGCUUAGAUGGGUGGGCGAGCUCACAGCCACCCUGGUGUUGCUAAGUGGUUACUCGAGCCCACAUACAUCUACAACGUAAAUGCGCCACCCACCUUGAGAUAUAAGUUCUAAGGUCUCAAGUAUAGUUACAAGUUAAAGUCCAAUGGGUAUGUCUUCGAUGUUAUUUUAUGUGCAUAAAAUCCAUUAAAAUCGUUUGAUUAAUGAUAAUACUUAAAAUGAUUUAUUUAUAUGUUUUAUUUAUAUACUCAAAAUAUUUACUUCAUACGUAAAAGGAUUUGAAGCUGGCAAUAUUUUUCCCGCAAAAAUAAAAAUCCUUGUUUUUUCAAUAGAGUUACUUUUUUUAAACUACUUAUUGUAAACUAUAGUGGCGCUUAUUUGCAAGAAAGUAAAUGCAUAUUUAUUUAUGACAAAAUUAAUGCACUAAGUAUUUUUUCUAUAAUCUAUUGUCCGCUUUGGGCCUAAAAUGGGCCAUCCCCUUUGUAGGUUAGUAAUUUACCAAAAAAUCAGUAAUCAUAUCCAAAUAUAGUCAACAUUAUAGUCUGCUUAGUCUAUAUAGUAAUAAAAGAAUACCUACUAUUGAUAAUAAAUACUUAAUUUAAGCAUAAUGUAUAUCAUGUUGAUUAAAAAAGAGUAAGACUAAUUA